UUUAUUGAAUCUCUCGCAACAAGUUUUAUAUUAAUAUUGUUGGUUUUCCAACUAUGACGAUAAACGAAUUUCGUAAUAACCAUCACGGACGUGGGGGCAGUACCCACCACCUCCACCAUUUACAACUUAUGGGGGUGAAUUAGGAUCGACGGGUGUCUAAAGGUUUUUUUUUCGUUCGAGAUAGUUCCGACGUAACGGGCUAAUUUUAAAUGCUAACGAAAGUUACGCACUUGCUGCAUAAUUAACUUUUAGUUAAUUAUAAUAGCACGGCUUGGGGCACCGGGUAACAGAACGCCCCUUACA
rnacentral:tmRNA from 1 species